AGGGUUUGAAGCUGAUCUUGGAUCGGAGGGUUCAUGGCGGAGGAUGACAUGGUCAGUCAGGUGAGACACCCACUGAGGACGACGGAGGGAAGGAAGAUGUGUGUACGUAAUUAGCCUUAUAAGAUCAUCCAACACGUGGUUUGGUGAACGUUUAAAGUGCGUCAACCAGACAGUGAGACUCGAACGCUUCGAUUUUUUUUCUUCUUCGUCCUCCUUCCUGACUCCUAAGCACAACAAAAAUCGGCACCGAUUGGGACAACAAAAAGCGUCACAAAUAAUCAAACAUGGUGUUGACUUGAAUCAUGUCACAUUAACUCAUGUAAUUUCAUAGAUAUGUUUGACGAAAAAUUUGAGACAAAUGGAAAUGGCAAGUCUAAUGCGAAGGCUGAUGGCUAUUCUGGUAAAGGCAAAAGGGAAAAGGGGGAUAAGGGAGGCUCUAGGAAAAAAAGAACCUCCUAAACUUUUGACGCAAGGUUGAAGAGAGGAUUUCUGAGAAUUUGACAUGUUUGAUGGAUUGUGAACCUGCACAAUUCUUGCAAGGAAUCCAAGAACACAUGGUGUUACUGUCAAAGGAUCCAUCGAUUAAAAUCCCAAUUUCAUUUGAUAGGGCAUUGCAGUAUGAAUCCAGAGG